UACGAAGGGGGCUAGCGUUGCUCGGAAUUACUGGGCGUAAAGCGCACGUAGGCGGCUCUUUAAGUCGGGGGUGAAAUCCUGGAGCUCAACUCCAGAACUGCCUUCGAUACUGGAGAGCUCGAGUCCGGGAGAGGUGAGUGGAGCUGCGAGUGUAGAGGUGAAAUUCGUAGAUAUUCGCAAGAACACCAGUGGCGAAGGCGGACUUUCUGGUCUGUAACUGACGCUGAGGCGGCGAAAGCGUGGG
rnacentral:rRNA from 1 species